GUCGUAACAAGGUUUCCGUAGGUGAACCUGCGGAAGGAUCAUUCACACGCAUCCAACCGUUUCAUGUGAACUUGCUGAUGUGGAAUUCCUGCUUGCGGAUUGUAUGCCUCUUGCAGUUCUCCAUGGGGCAGCGGGGUGGUGGCAGGCUGCGGCCUGAUCCAUCGUCUGCGCGUCCCGGGGCGCCGCUCCACCAGCGGAUGUGCGCCUUUGGUGUGCAUCCCUUGGUUGAGCGGAAGUGCCCGUGUGAACCACGUAGUCUUCAAACAUGGCGUACGUUCUUUGCUGGCAGCCUGCCUGCCAAAGCUUCCAUACAACUUUCAGCGACGGAUGUCUCGGCUCGAACAACGAUGAAGGGCGCAGCGAAGUGUGAUAAGCAUUGUGAAUUGCAGAACUCCGUGAACCAAUAGGGAUUUGAACGCAUUCUGCGCUUUCGGGAUAUUCCUGAAAGCAUGCCUGCUUCAGCGUUUAUAUCAUCUUAUGCCAGCAACGCUUGCCUCCUUGUGGGGUUUUGUUGCUUGUGCGUGUCUGAGUGUUAGGGCGCCGCUCUUUGGGGCAGCCCUUGACGCAUGUAGUGCAUGAGGGCACUUGUUGGCAAACAACUGACUGAACAUCUUGGAUGUGCUCUUUGUUGCUUUGCUGGUAAGUGGCUUCGCAUUUGCUUGCCCCGCCAGGGGCUUCUCCCCAAACAUGAAGUUAGGUCAGCAAACCCGCUGAAUUUAAGCAUAUAAGUAAGCGGAGGAUAAGAAACUAAAUAGGAUUCCCUUAGUAAUGGCGAAUGAACAGGGAUGAGCUCAGCAUGGAAAUUGGGGCCUCUGGCCUUGAAUUGUAGUCUCGAGAUGUACCGCCAACGGAGGUGCAGGUGUAAGUUUAUCGGAAAAAGCAUCAAUGAGGGUGAGAGUCCCGUGUUUCAUCUGCAGUCCUCUGUGCACGGUGUGCCAUCUAAGAGUCACGUUCCUCGGGAUUGGAGCGCAAAGUGGGUGGUAAAUUUCAUCUAAAGCUAAAUAUUGGUUCGAGACCGAUAGCUAACAAGUACCAUGAGGGAAAGAUGAAAAGGACUUUGAAAAGAGAGUUAAAAGUGCCUGAAAUCGCUGAAAGGGAAGCGAAUGGAACCAGUAAUUCUUGGUGAGAUUGGUGCAUGCAUGCAUGUGCUGUUUCUCGCCUUGUGUGUCAACGUCGGUUCGAAGUUGAGGAAAACUCUGGGGACAUGGUUGCUCGGCUGCGCUGGGUGAAAGUGCCUGGUUGAACUCUCCUUUGGACUGAAACUUGCGUGUCUGGUUGCAGUGCCUUGUUAGUCUCCCUAUAGGUUCAGCUAAAGCUUUGCUUGGGCUGCUCCUUUGGGAGCUCGAGGUAUCUCCCUGACAUCAUAACGAUGACAAAAUGGUUUUAUUCGACCCGUCUUGAAACACGGACCAAGGAGUCUAACAUAUGUGCGAGUUCACGGGUGGUAAACCUGCUAGCGCAGUGAAAGCGACUGCUGGGAUCUUUGCACCAGCAACCGACACGAAAUUGAGAGAGGUUUGAGUAUGAGCAUAUCUGUUAGGACCCGAAAGAUGGUGAACUAUGCGUGA
rnacentral:rRNA from 1 species